CGCCGCUUAAAUUGACUUAUUACAGUGACUUGGAGUCGCGGUAAUAAGCAAUUUAAAUCCCCCCUCCCCUGAUUUCCCCACUUUCACCCUCUCUUUAUCUCGCUCUUUCUCUCUCUGAGGUUUAACAUCCUCACAAAUUUCCGCUGUCGCCACCAACACCGUCUUCUCGCCGCUGUCUUCUCAUCGACGCCGGCGUUUCUCAAGUUGAGAUAUGAGAUCACCAAGGUUGAACGCAUCUUUGUGGUGGGGAACUCUGGCAAACAUUUUGAGAUAAUUCUAGUUAAGUGUCUUGGAUUACUCGUUUAAUUCCAGCAUGUUUAUAGCUGAUUUUAGGAAACCACACACAAGUGCACAUUUUGAGAUAAUUUUCUUGGAGUGUUUGCCAAGAACCACACAAAACACAACAAUGGAGAUUCGUACGUGUGAUGUGAGACAAAUUUAGCUACUGGAGAUUCCAGUAAUAGAAACAAGAUUUAAAAUUAACGGCAAUUACGGUUUGAAAUGUUAAUGUUUACGGUCUGAUCUUUUCACCAGUGGCAAAUUAGCAAAUAGUUCUCGUUACUUGUGCUUACCUCAUCAACUGUACUAUUUAAUUCCCAAAUGACAUUAUGCUACUAUAAGUUUAGCUGUGUGUAUAUGUUGGAGAACUAGGUACCUUGUGCAGUUUCUAUUAUAUAAUGAUAUGCAGUUCAGUAUAUAUAAUGAUGUACUAUGGUGAUAUCAAUCUCUAGUUUCCAAGUGCUUAAAUUUACAUUCCCAUAUUCUAUGUACUGUGGUGACUACAAAAAGUGCAUCUUGAUUCAACUAGUUAAUAAAUAGUUGAAAAUAUAUAAUCACAAAAAUUAAGGAACAACACCUUCGAUCUUCCACAUUAAUAUAAAAAUCAUAUCAUCCACAAAUUUUUUCUUUUAUAUGACCAGAAUAUGGGUGGAAUGGAAUGAUUCUUUAAAGGAUCUUUUUCCCAAUUUUGUAGCUUUGAGAUCAAUGAAGGAGGUUUCUUUUGGUUUAUAAUAUGACUUACAUGCAUGCACCCAUUUUCUUUUGGUUUAUAUUAGUUUUUAGGUUUCCUAAUUUUGUAGUUGCAAUUUAAAUUUCUGUUGGGUUUUGGAAACUAAAGAAAAAUUUGUGAAUCUAAAUUUUUGCAGCUUUGAGAUCAAUGAAGGAGGUUUCCAGUUUUCAGAUGAAGAGGUAUACCUUUAGGUUUUGAGAUGAAGAAGGCAGCUUCCAUGAUGAUCAGGACUUGCUAAGGAAAUCCUUAUUAUACAAUAAAUAUGAGGAGUAUACAUGUAAACUUACAUUGAUAUAUUAAUGUGGCAUAUUGGGGUGAAUUUCAAAUAGCACCUUUUUUUAUGAAUGAAUGAUAUACCGAUACAUGUUGGGGGUAUUUCAAAUAUCUAUAUCAUGUAAACGAUUAAUUCAUGAUAUUAUAUACUUAUUAGAGAAUAUGUUAAUCUA